rnacentral:tRNA from 1 species
CAAGAAAUAGUUUAAAUAAAAUAUUAAUUUUGGAGAUUAAUGAUAAAAAUUUUUUUUUCUUGA